rnacentral:rRNA from 1 species
CGAGCGGUAUGGAUAGCUUGCUAUCCAGAGAGCGGCGUACGGGUGCGUAACACGUGUGCAACCUGCCUUUAUCUGGGGGAUAGCCUUUCGAAAGGAAGAUUAAUACCCCAUAAUAUGGUGUCCGGCAUCGGUCGCCAUUGAAAGCCUCGGCGGAUAGAGAUGGGCACGCGCAAGAUUAGAUAGUUGGCGGGGUAACGGCCCACCAAGUCGAUGAUCUUUAGGGGUCCUGAGAGGGAGAUCCCCCACACUGGUACUGAGACACGGACCAGACUCCUACGGGAGGCAGCAGUGAGGAAUAUUGGACAAUGGGUGGAAGCCUGAUCCAGCCAUCCCGCGUGAAGGAUGACGGUCCUAUGGAUUGUAAACUUCUUUUGUACAGGGAUAAACCUGCCCUCGUGAGGGCAGCUGAAGGUACUGUACGAAUAAGCACCGGCUAACUCCGUGCCAGCAGCCGCGGUAAUACGGAGGGUGCGAGCGUUAUCCGGAUUUAUUGGGUUUAAAGGGUCCGUAGGCGGGCCUGUAAGUCAGUGGUGAAAUCUCAUAGCUUAACUAUGAAACUGCCAUUGAUACUGCAGGCCUUGAGUAAAUUUGAAGUGGCUGGAAUAAGUAGUGUAGCGGUGAAAUGCAUAGAUAUUACUUAGAACACCGAUUGCGAAGGCAGGUCACUAAGAUUUAACUGACGCUGAUGGACGAAAGCGUGGGGAGCGAACAGGAUUAGAUACCCUGGUGGUCCACGCCGUAAACGAUGCUAACUCGUUUUUGGAUCUUCGGGUUCAGAGACCAAGCGAAAGUGAUAAGUUAGCCACCUGGGGAGUACGUCCGCAAGGAUGAAACUCAAAGGAAUUGACGGGGGCCCGCACAAGCGGUGGAUUAUGUGGUUUAAUUCGAUGAUACGCGAGGAACCUUACCAAGACUUAAAUGGGAAUUGACAGAUUUAGAAAUAGAUCCUCCUUCGGGCAAUUUUCAAGGUGCUGCAUGGUUGUCGUCAGCUCGUGCCGUGAGGUGUUAGGUUAAGUCCUGCAACGAGCGCAACCCCUGCCAACAGUUGCCAUCAUUCAGUUGGGGACUCUGUUGGGACUGCCUACGCAAGUAGAGAGGAAGGUGGGGAUGACGUCAAAUCAUCACGGCCCUUACGUCUUGGGCCACACACGUAAUACAAUGGCCGGUACAGAGGGCAGCUACCUGGUGACAGGAUGCGAAUCUCGAAAGCCGGUCUCAGUUCGGAUUGGAGUCUGCAACUCGACUCUAUGAAGCUGGAAUCGCUAGUAAUCGCGCAUCAGCCAUGGCGCGGUGAAUACGUUCCCGGGCCUUGUACACACCGCCCGUCAAGCCAUGGAAGUCUGGGGUACCUGAAGUCGGUGACC